rnacentral:rRNA from 1 species
AUUGAACGCUGGCGGCAGGCCUAACACAUGCAAGUCGAACGAGUGGCGGACGGGUGAGUAAUGUCUGGGAAACUGCCUGAUGGAGGGGGAUAACUACUGGAAACGGUAGCUAAUACCGCAUACCAUCAGAUGUGCCCAGAUGGGAUUAGCUUGUUGGUGGGGUAACGUCUCACCAAGGCGACGAUCCCCAGCUGGUCUGAGAGGAUGACCAGCAACACUGGAACUGAGACACGGUCCAGACUCCUACGGGAGGCAGCAGUGGGGAAUGUUGCACAAUGGGCGAAAUCCUGAUGCAGCCAUGCCGCGUGUGUGAAGAAGGCCAUCGGGUUGUAAAGGACUUUCAGCGGGGAGGCGUUACGCGCAGAAGAAGCACCGGCUAACUCCGUGCCAGCAGCCGCGUUAAUUC